CGAAAAGCCUGAUUUUCACGCGAACAAUUCAAAGCUUCGUCUCUGGAAGCUCUACUGUUUCAGUGUGAUUGCAGUCUUUCGUCUCGAGCAAAAAACCCUAGGAGCAAGCAAACAUGGGGAAAACUGAGAACGGAAAAACCCUAGCAACAGACGUAGAGGAACCCCAGAACGGAAAGCACGUUGCAACAGACGCGGUGGAGCCUCAGAGCGGCAACGCAACCUCUGCCGUGGCGGAGAGCGAGGAGGAGCCCCUGGUGGGCCCGGGACCAGCCCCUCGCUCUCGGCCCAAGCGGCCUCUCCAGUUCGAGCAUGCCUACCUCGACGCCCUUCCCUCUGCUCAAAUGUAUGAGAAAAGUUAUAUGCACCGUGACGUGGUUACACAUGUUGCUGUGUCUUCGGCGGAAUUUGUUGUAACUGGAAGUGUUGAUGGACAUUUGAAGUUUUGGAAGAAAAAGGCUAUUGGCAUUGAGUUUGCAAAGCAUUUUAGGUCCCACCUGGGUCCAAUUGAAGGCCUAGCUGUUAGCGUUGAUGGUUUGCUUUGCUGUACAAUUUCAAAUGACCACUCUGUGAAGAUAUAUGAUGUAGUCAAUUAUGAUAUGAUGGUCAUGAUUCGAACACGUUUUGUUCCUGGUGCUGUUGACUGGGUCUACAAACAAGGGGAUGUCAAAGCCAGGCUUGCCAUCAGUGAUAGAAACUCAUCAUUUGUACACAUUUUUGAUGCACGAGCUGGUACAAAUGAACCUAUAAUCUCUAGAGAGAUACACUUGGGCCCAGUGAAAGUAAUGAGGUAUAAUCCUGUAUUUGAUACAGUGAUUUCAGCUGAUCAACAGGGAAUAAUUGAGUAUUGGAGUCCUGCUACGCUUGAGUUUCCAGAGGAUGGGGUGAAGUUUAGAGUGAAAAGUGACACCAGUCUUUUCGAAUUCUUGAAAUGCAAAACUACUGUUUCUUCUAUUGAGGUUAGCCCAGAUGGUAAGCAGUUUUCAAUUACAUCCCCUGAUCGCAGGAUACGUGUAUUUUGGUUUAGCACGGGUAAAUUGCGACGAGUCUAUGAUGAAUCUCUUGAGGUGGCCCAAGAUCUCCAAAGAAGUGAUGUACCUUUGUACCAACUGGAAGCUAUUGACUUUGGGCGAAGAAUGGCUGUUGAGAAGGAAAUUGAGAAAACAGAAUCUGCCCCACAGCCAAAUGCAGUUUUUGAUGAAAGCUCAAAUUUUCUCAUAUAUGCGACUCUCCUUGGGAUAAAAGUGGUAAAUUUACACACUAAUAAAGUUGCCCGAAUUCUUGGAAAAGUGGAAAAUAAUGAUAGGUUUUUGAGAAUUGCCUUAUAUCAAGGUGACAGAAGCAGUAAAAAAGUUAGAAAAAUUCCCGCAGCUGCAGCAAAUGUGAAUGAAAGCAAAGAGCCUUUGACGGAUCCCACUCUCAUAUGUUGUGCUUUCAAGAAACAUAGAAUCUAUCUGUUCAGUCAGAGAGAACCAGAGGAGCCUGAAGAUGCAACUAAGGGAAGAGAUAUAUUCAAUGAAAAGCCUCCUGCCGAUGAACUCUUGGCUGCAUCAGAUAUUGGCAAAUCAGUCACAACAUCUCUUCCUGACAAUGUGAUUUUGCAUACUACGAUGGGUGACAUACACAUGAAAUUGUAUCCAGAGGAAUGCCCUAAAACUGUGGAGAACUUCACAACACACUGCCGGAAUGGCUAUUAUGAUAACCUCAUAUUUCAUCGAGUGAUCAAAGGUUUCAUGAUACAAACAGGAGAUCCUUUAGGAGAUGGUACUGGUGGGCAAUCUAUUUGGGGAAGGGAGUUUGAAGACGAGUUUCACAAAAGUUUACGACAUGACAGGCCUUUCACCGUAUCGAUGGCAAAUGCGGGCGAGAACACAAAUGGAUCACAAUUUUUUAUCACCACGGUGGCUACUCCUUGGCUUGACAACAAGCACACAGUUUUUGGCAGAGUUAUCAAGGGAAUGGAUGUCGUACAGGCUAUAGAGAAAGUGAAGACAGACAGGGGAGACAGGCCCCAAGUAGAUGUGAAAAUUCUAAAUGUUACUGUCCCUAAGUCUUAAGAUUCUCCCUUCUGAUGAUGUUCCGUUGGACAUGGUUGGAGGUCGUUUUGUUGAACCUUGCCUGUAAAAGAUUGCAUUCAGGGGGGAAAUGGUCUAUGUUUUGGUACGAUCGCCUAUCAAUCAUGAAGAAGUUGAGCAUGUAUUAUGUGGGAUUGCUUCCAAGUCAGAAAAACAUUCUUCUACUUGGUUGCUUGUAACUUCACUUAUUCUGAAGUUUGAUUAGUUGCUACUGUGUUCCAUGUUAACCCUUGUUUUUGGAGUGAUUUUAGCCAAUUUGAAGUUUCAUCCUUUGUAGAUUGUUGAUUUCUUUCAACUCAAAGGCUAUGCUCCCUUGGACAUGUACGCUUUGUGUUUACUAAGCUCAGUCUGUUACGGGUCUUGAAUCAGCGACUGAAUUUUUAUUUUUGGCGUAAAUGCUAAGAUGGUCCCUGUGUUUUA